rnacentral:misc_RNA from 1 species
GAAUAAUCACUCCAACACUGAUAACAUCCUUAAUUUAUUCAGUUCAAUGAAGCAAUCAGACACAUUACAAUACAAUCAUAACAAUUUUCAACAACAGAAGCUGUUUGACUUUAUAGGGAACUGUCAAAUAGAUAUUUCAUACAGAAACAUGCCUAAAAGUUAAAAAAUAAUAACAAUAAAUAAAAGAAGAAUAAGAAGCUAAGUUUUUGUUUUUGAAUUUUGAUAGCCUUUUGAAAGUCCA